GGUCAGGUCCAGCCCGGGAUCUUGGGCCGUCCGUGGCUAAGAGUCCAGACUGGAUUUGACUCU
rnacentral:miRNA from 1 species